CGCGACGCGACGCGACGCGACGCCAAUCCGACGACCGUUCACGAUGACGAGAGUUUCGCGUUGACGCGUCACGCCAAUCGAAUCGAACGUAAAUUAACCCCUGUGCUCCGGCUACGACAUCGCGACAGUGUCGAUAUCCGAUCACUACCGGAAACCUAGACUUCCCGUUGCUGUGAUUUUCGCCACGCACACCGAUUUCGUGACUCGUAACGCAUGCGUGUUCUUUCCUUUACAUGCCGCGUGACGGCGACCACGGUUUCGCAGUUGUUCCGCAUUUUGGUUUUGGUUCAUCGACCUUUCCGCGCACCGUCCCAGACGCUGGGACGAUGGUACGUCCUUGACGAAUGAAAUUUUCUCCUCGACGAUCUCGGAAACUUAUCUUUCCCUGGCCAUUGCCACCGGGGCUCCUUCUCCUUCCCUGUCUCGUGCCGCUUUGAUCGCCCCGUUCUCUCGCCACCCCUGUCGCAUGCAACGCGUGCUGGUCAUUACGUAACAGUUACCACAUUGUAUCCUCUGGGACGACGCGUCCUCAUUACCGUACGAUUCCUUUCGUCUUCCUUCCGGUCUCGCGUUCUUCCGCCGACAGCUUGCGAAGCAACGUGUUUUAACGAGCAAAGGAGAACCUCGUAGAUAUCAUUCAUUCUACGGUUUUCUUCUUCGAUCCAGCGGUUUUAGGUGAACGUUCCACUGGUCGCGACACCGCGACCGACCUUUUGACUCCGCUGCCCUCCCACUAUUCCCACGUGCCAACGAACUUUCGACAAAAAGUAAUCGCCGACCUCCUAGUGGUGGAAGUCGUAGGAAGAUCGAGUCAAUUGUCCAAAGUUAUCUCGUAACGAUUCUGUGCCAAAUGAACGGGCAAACGAAGGGAUCUACGAUACCGGAAUGCAAGAUCGUGCAAAGGAUCGAGAAGCUGACUACCGUGAGUACAAUUUCGGUUCGAUGCUCCAUUUUCUACGAAUCCGACUCCGUUUCAAACUUUUUAGUUUUCUUUAACCGAUCGUGUAAACCUACAUCUCGCAGAUAAUUUAGCACUAGUCUGGCUGAAAUGGUUUACACGAAUCGCAGUAAGAGAUCGCGAACGAAAAACGAUUCGUUAUAGUAACGAAGGAGCGGUCGUCUGGUGGAACGACGAGAUAGCCCAGUUGGCACGCAGGGCCGUUUGACGGUGACAUAUAGAAGCGUAUGUGCCGUAGGUGUACGCCAACAAAAGCGUGUGGGUUUAUAUAUAGAAAUAGCAGCGUCGGAACAACACCGGAAGCGAAGGAGUUCCGCCCAAGCCUGAAGGGUCACCGCACUUUGAAAAUCGAGAUCCAAGAUUGCGCGUAUUGCGUUCGCUCGCCGGGUUUUUCUUCCGUGUCAUUUCCGUUCGUCGCGCACGAUUCUAAUUUUUCAUUCGGGAAGGACCGCGGUCUCGGGGGAAAAGCGGAAGAGCGAAAAGAAAAGCUUCUGUCAUCGUAUCGUAGUAAAGGCAUCGACGCGUUAAAGAACCGGGCAAGAAAAUUCGUAAAUUCCUUACCGUUUCGAUGCGGUAUGCUGAACGGAAAUGAGAUAGACGUUCCGGUCGGAGUUUGAACGCGUUUAGAGCGCGCGAAGCGUUUCCCUCGUUAACGCGUGCAAACGUUUCCUCGCUAAACUCGCACGAGUUUAUGAAUGAAACCACUACCGAGCGCAGUUUCUACGCGACGCCAGUAGUACUCGCGUUUACUCGCUCGUUCCACGUAGGAAGGAAGUCGCGGGCGAGCUAGUAUUGUCCCUCGCAUCAACGUUGAACCCCAACCGGGACUAGUCAAUUAGCCGGGCAAUAUUUUUCCGGCAGGAUGCUGCAUUCAAGGAAGUGUAACUACGUCUGCAGGCCAUCUAUAGGGUGCUUUUAAUCACGUCGAUGUCUAAUGUAUUAUUCAUCGUUUAAUGAGAUACUUUCGAAUCGCCGCUGCCUUCUGUAACGAGCGUGAAUGCAUGGCAAGAAAAAAAAAAAAAAAAGAAAAAACGCUAGAUCCUUUGUAAUACCUAUUACCAGCAUACAUAGGUGGAUAGUUCGUCUUCUUCCGGCGACGGACCGAGAUACUUAUUUAUUAGGAUUCGGUCGAGACGGAGCGCGUUCCAAGUAACUCGAAACAGUGUCGCGAGGGGCUGUGUCCGAUCGAAUUCUAGGCCGUCGUCGACCGGCGACGCUAUUUCUAAACUCGUUUCUAUUUUCUAUUUGCAUGCGUUACCCUCCUCGCGACAAUUUUAUACGUCUGCGAUAUUUCGAGGAGACGGCUAACCAGCCGGCUACUCAGUAUCCAGAAAAUAUGCCAUCGUCUGCAGCAUCCUGUACCGAUUCGAUCGCCGAUGAGAAAACGAUCGAAGCGAGGGCGGACGCGAGGCGUUUCGGUGCCGAGCAACGUACGGUAAGGCCGAUAUCUAGGAGCGUAAUGGACGGCUCCGUUCGCCACUUUCCGCCACUGGCUGAAACUGUAAUCGUACUCGAUCGAGCAAUUAGUAGUAUGGAGCGGCCAUUAAGCACUGGCAUUCUUCACGUGAACGUCACGCGGCCGCUGCACGCUUGUGUUUGUAACCAUUCUAAUUGUAAUCGCUUCCACCUCUCGCGCGCGCCUAUUGCCUACGAUAGGAAUCGACCGACCGAUCUAUCCACGCUGAGGAAUUCUUCAUUUUCCACGAAUCUUUCCAAGAUCGACGCAUCGAACUGCUAUACGAAAGUACGCGCUUCCUCCAUAAUGCACGAGAUCUUUAUGGUCGGCGUGUAACAUCGAAUUUCGUUGACCCAGCGUCGUACAGUUGCAUUCUUAGACGCGUAAACAAUUGUCGCCCGAGUUUUUCUUUUUCUUUUUCUCGAAAGAGGAUCGAUAGAUCGCGAGGAAAACGCGACACGACGAAUCCAUGGCGCGAACCCUUUGAAAAACGCGAUCAGGGGAGGAAGAUUCGCGCGAGGGAUUUUUCCUAGACGCGUCUCGCAUGCGAAACUUUCGCGGCCUAGAACAACGGAAUAGAGACAAAGUGUAAGAGGAGAAACGAGAGAGUCAGCCAUUUUAUGAAACGGCACAGCUGCCUCGUAUCGUUGCCAUGAGAGCGCGCCACGUUCAAAGCUUUUGGCGAAAACUCAGGCUGCAACUUUGUAGUUGCGCUCUUUUCUCGCGGCUUUUCCUCCUCGUCGUUUUGUCCCUCGAUCCGAUAGAUCCUCCGAUGAAUAGAAACCAAAUGAAAUCGUAGAAAGAAGGAAGAAAGUCGAUAGAAAUUCGAAGGAGAUUCCGCGCGUCGACUCGUGCGUAUCGGUGGUCGCGUCGCGUCGGUUUUGCGCGACAAUUUUUCCGUCGUUCGCGAUUCUCCUUCUCUCCCUCUGUACUCCCUCUCUUCGCACACGAUGUCCGUCUCUUUUUCUCUAAGCUUCCGUUUCGUUUCCCUUUUUUCCCUUUUAUUCUUUUUUCCUUCGAUUCGAAAUAACAGCGAUUUCGAGGGGCGGCUGUCGGGCAAAUCGCGCACGAAUGGUCGUUAGCGACUCUAUCCUAGGAACGAGUUUGGAGCCGGGUAUUCGAUCCACUUACGCUCGAUAAUGCUCCAUCUUUUCACUCCGUAAUUUCCGUGUUUUCCGACCUCGUGGCUUCCCCUUCCUAUCCGGUCGCCGCGCACGCUUCACCGUGUCGCGAAGGUGGCAGAUGGAUAAAAAGAGAAGUCUGUAUAUAUAAGAGUAGUAGAAGGAGGUGGUGGAGGAGGGUAAGGGCGAAACAGAGAGGGAGAUGUCGCGUUACGGGAAUAAGGAAGGAUAAACGAAGCGAGAAAGAGUUGCAGUGAAGAGGGGUGGGAGCGGUUACGGCGGGAUCGGUAGCAGGGGUAGAGGGGAGAAAGAGAGAGAUAGAAGAGGGAAUCCACGAGCGAUCGGUUGCCCUACUCAGUCCUCGUCCGUCUACCAGUCGGUCGUUUACGCUGCGACUUUGACAGUUCGCGACCUUACGUCACUCGAGUUUCACACCGAUCGCGCCUCCGCAGUGUUUUCAGUGUUGCCCUGCACUUUGCUUGAAUCGUGUAUCGCUUCAACUACGCGAUGGUACAUAUUCCUUCGCAUCCUGUUUCCUUUGCUCCGAUUCUCUUUGGUCGACCGAUCGAAGCUACCGAUCGACCGACUCGCAACAAGACGCCGUUUUUCAACGAUAUCACGAACUCGUACGAGUAAAAAGGUACGUUUCAUCGUUUAUCUCGGAGAUGGAUCGUUUUGCGUAUGUACGUCAGUUCCGGUGAACGCGUCAAAUGGUCCGAUGGGGUUCGCUCGACCGAGGAAAAUUCUAUAACGGAGUAAAAACUCGUUGGUUGCCAUACCGCGAGUUAACGAGUUUCGUAAGCUCGUCGCCGCUGCGCGAACGAUCGGUUGCGAAAGGAAACUCCGUUCGCGAUGUCACUUUGCGACAAGUGGAAAAUGGGUGCGAGUUUCACCUUUCCAGCCACGUGCCCGAUGACGUUUCAUCGAAAUCGUUGCGUAUUCCUCCGUGUUUUCGCUCUUUGACCGAUACGAAGAUUCCCCGCUAAUCUCGAGUUUACAUCUAGCAGCCAGUCGGUUUAGUUAUUCCUUUUAUGGAUCAUAGGUACAUGUUACAGCGAUGAUUCAACGUUAUCCGUGGAUAAGACGUCGACGUACGUUGGACAAAAAUUUCUACGGAUCAGCGAUUCCCGGUCGAGCCCGGUGAUUGUCGAUCAUCGAAGGUUAAUCGACAAGACAGCUCGACAUUCGUGUCGACCGUGAAGGAGGAAGGAUGAAAUCGCGGAGGUGAACGCACCCGCACGAAAUUUACGUUAAACUCGUAUGUGCGCACGUGCCCGGCCGUGCACGCGUCUACGUACCGUACUGUACUCACGUACAGAUCGUUUGAUGUUGGCAAAUGGCGCAAGUAAAUCCGCGUAUUAUUAAAUAGAUAACGACCAUAAAUUUGGCCAAGUUACAUAAAGGCGCAAAAGGCGCGCGUUAAGGUCCACCGUUCUAUUUAUGUGUCGGCGACCGGCGUUCUAGGAUCGCGGUUCUCAUUCGCGUUUCUCCGCUACUGGGGAGAAACGAAAGUUUGCCUAGUUUCGAUCAUCGACCGCGGUGUCGAAUCGUUCAUUCCAUAUUCUCGCCUCGUUUUUCUCGAACGCGACAACGAGCUUGAAUUAGCUGCGGAAAAGCAACGAGGAACGAAAGGCGAUAAAACGCGUGGACGAAGCACCACUGGAGAGGAAGUCAUCGAGAACGCUGUCCUUGUUUAUCGUUGCCCGUAUGUCUAUUUGCCUUUUAUCAAUUCUAGGAGCGAUAAUUUCUUUUCUAAAUUGCGAGACCGCGGGGCCACAUGCGUAGACAGACGCGUACGAUGGUUUUGCGCGUUUGCUCGCGGAUACGAGGACGGUAGGUUUUUUCCACGUACUCGACGCAAUCGAUGAAUUCAAUUCCGAACAGUUUGCGCUCGAAUCGUCCGAGUUUCGCGGACGCGCAGUGGAACGGAUCCGCCCGCGAUCAGACGCGUUGCUCCGAUAGAUACAACUCAAACUUCCGCUAGUUUCGUCGUCUCGUCGCGUUGCGUCGUAGAAAUUUUUCUGUGGCGCCUCGACGUAUCAUUGGCUCAAUUCCAACGAACCUACCAGCUUCGUCUAUUUUCGUUGAUUUCGCUCUUUGUGGAAAGACGCGUUCCGCAUUAGCGAUUGGCGUUUGCACUGUCUGUCCCGUUCGUUCGUUCGUUCGCCGAUUCCGUUCGAUCGUUUUCGAUCGAACGUAGAAACGCGGCUGGCUCCGAAACGCGUCGCGUGCAACAGGUAUCCAGCUUGACGUCACGAUUUCAGGACGUCGCGUCGAAGGAAAGGAACGAAGUCGGAGGGAAAAGAGACGAUAGCGGUAGGAGGGGUGGGAGCAACGAUGACUCUGAUAAGUGGUAGUGGAAGUUUCAGUCGGUCGACGACGACGACGGUGACGGCGUCGGUGGGUGACGGCGACGGCGACGGAGGCGGUGGCAGUGGUGCGGCAGCGACGAAAGGGUCGCGGAAUCAUGCAUACAUAUACACGUACGAGGCGGUCGCGCAUGACUUUGGACAUGCACCUCUCUCUCUCUCUCUUUCUCUCCCUCUCCUCCCCCUCUUUUUAUCCUCUCUUUUCGUCUCUGUUCCUCCUGAAGCAUCGUUCGGUCGACAAAGAGAAGAGGAGAAGCACGGUUGUGUCACUCUGUUACGCGACUAUUAUUCAACGCUUACGGAAAUACGCGGUAAAAACGUAGGGAACGUAAAUCCGAACGAACCUUUUUUUCAGCUGGUUCCCUGUGCCAAGGUUUUUCAUUUACUCGAAACAAAGGAAAAGAGAGAAAUAAAGGGGAAACGAAACGAAACGUCGUUGUUCGUUCAACGUGUCUCGCAAUAUCCUGUAAUUCAUCGUGCUCGUUUAGCCAUCGAAAGUUAGCUCCGUUUUUUUCAGACGUCGAAUUCAUCGAGGAGGAUGGCUCUGUUUCGCCGAUGAUCGUUACACGAUCAUCGACUCUGCCAUUCUACUCACGGCGCGUAGAACGAAACGGGGAACAGUAGCUGCCAGGUGUAACGGGGUGUCGGUAGGGAGGACCGCUGCCACUAUGGGAAUUCUAAUUAGAGAUAAUGACGUCAUUAAGGUCUGAGCCACGACGAGACGAGACGGUCUGCUGCGCUUACUGUACAUACUCUCUAUUCCGAGUAGGUAUGUAUCGGUGCUUCGUACGUGCGAAACGCGCUUUGUUCGUGUCUGCGUGUUCUGUCGUGCCGUGCCAUGCCGUGCCGUGCCGAUGUACGCUUCUCUCGUGCGAAUGCACUCUAAACCCUGAAGGAGAAACCGCUCCGUUUCCUAUCGUUCGAUAGAAAAGACGAUUUUCACCCGGACAAACGUCCACGAUAUACAUUUUAUCGAAAUACAUUUCAGCGUUAUUGAAAGGCACGGUAACCAAUCCUCUUCAUUCAUCCGUUUCAACGUUAAAUCUCUUCUUAUCUGCGCGAGAGCUGGCUACACAGCUUUACUUCGGCUUAAUGAAUAAGAAUAUUAACAGUGAUACGGGGCGGUGAUUUAUGUUUAUUUUUUCGGCUCACCGUUAAGUAACGAGUAGUUUCGGUUCAGAGUCCAGCGCGAUAGCGUUUCAGUAGCGAACGAGAAAUCCAUCAGCGCGUGACCAAUCUUUGGAAGCGUUGUCUCGAAUUACGAGUACGCUCGUUACGGGAACACCGAACGCGUUUCCUUCUUCGCUCCGAUUCGAUUCUACAUCGGCGACAGUGACACGAUUCCCGCGCCUCCUCUUCCCGCAUUCCGGCAAGAUCGAACGGCGAUCGAAUAACCGGGGAAACCGCGAGAAAAACGAUCGGACAACGAUUCAUCGUGAUGGCUUUUCACGGAAACGGCGCGCGAUCCGUCGAGUCGAGCUGGCGUUGUUUCUUCGCAAACGUCAUGCAACAACUAUGCGCGAACCACGCUCCGAGACGUACGGUGCUGCUUCAUGGAUCGCGAAACUGCUAGAGCGAAACUUGCGCUUCGUUGCUGUUCUUUCGCGAAAAAUCAUUCUAAUUUUUCCCGAUCGUUUCGCCAAAGAUUAAGGUUCCUCGAAGACAACCGCGGACGGAUCGAAGAGUCGGCGAUCAACCGCCGUUAAAGAAGUCCUUAUACGGCGCAAAUAUCCUCCCGACUCGUCGUCCCGUCGCAUUCCUCGACUUCCUUCCGAAGCGAGCUCUUUCACCGGCAAUCGCAGCGAGUGGUUUACGUUUCUUUCACCGUCGACGCCGUCGUUUGAGAAUCACUGGCAUGCCUAGACGCUGCUACUCCGGCCACCGGCGCGGCGGUACCGUUGUCGUCGCGAUUGGCUCUUUAAACUUUAAAAGCCAACGCGCUGCCCGCGAAACUAUCGACGACCGGACAGGGCUGUCAUCGAUCUACACGAGACCCCCACCAAUUUGAUCGGGCCCCUUUCAAAUUUUAUCCCCUCCGUAUCCUCUCGAAUUAUACGCUCCUCUGAGUAGCGGCGAACGCGAACGUUUUCAGCCAUGUUCGUCGCGAAGCUUCCCCUUUCGCGCCGUUUCGACAGGUCCGGAGGGUCGAAAAUCGCGAAAACUGUCUGUACUCGUUCGCAAGGAGGCGACGCGACGCCUCGCUGCCAUACGGUUAUGCAAAACAAUUAUCGUGGAAUGCGGUCAGCUGUUCCGAGACGCGCGUUGACGUCAUGCGGUUAACGCGUGCGCGAAUUCUUGCGGGUCUCCUACGCACGUGUGUGUCCCGACUAAUCACUACGUGACCCUGCGAAACUGCACCCUCUUUCCUUACGUAUCUUCUUUUUCUUUAUUCUUCAUUUUCUCGCCACCUCUCUGUCGCGCUUCAUCCGAUCCGUAAGGUUAAUUAGAGAAACUCGCAACGUUUCUCGGAUCGCUUCCGUUUUCCGCUUGCGUAACGCUUGCGUAACGCUUGCGUUCGCGAGACACGCCUCGUCCUUGAAAGUUUUACACGUGCCGGAAUUACACCGGCUGUGAACUCGUUAGGUGUAAACAGACGACUAGCAUUCUCGUUUUAUCGCCCGAACCAGAUCGGCGUCGAUCACGUUCGGGGAUCGUUCGGGUACCAGCUGAUUUUCAACGAUAACGGAGCUCGACGAUAAUAGAUCCGUCCUGUCCCGUCGAAACGAUCGCAACCGAUUCGAACGUUUUACCUUUUUGUUGUACUCGAACAGACGAAUCAUUAAUUGUUGCUCAAACAUCCGUAUCGUUCCCUGUACAAAUAUUUUAUCGUCACACAAAGAGCACAGGUAUCCCAGCGGCGCCUGAUGUCUUCCAUCGAGUUUGCCGGAAAGUCCAACGUCGUUUUAAUUCCAUCUAGAACGAAUCGAUUCGCGAAGAAACGUCAACCGUGGGAACGGGCCAUCGCGAAAAACUGGAUUUCGUCGAUCGCAUCGGCGCGGUACGUGUUAAUCUUUCUUUAAGUGGAACACGAAACAGAGCUCGGAACGAAUAUUCGAGGUAAAAAGAAACGACGAAUAGCAAGUAGGUCGUCGAUCGUUUGUCGAUCGUGUCUCGAUAGUAGCAGUACCGAUCGGCGAUGGGUCUUUAAAAAAUUAGCAAGCUUCAGGCUGCGCGCGUGGGUUCGUUCAACUUUGGCUGUCUGAACCGGUCUCGCGCGCGCACGCGGCGAGAAUAUUUCUCCCUCUUCUUCGCUUAACCUUCCUCUUUCUUUAUUCUAGCUCCUCUUCGUAUUCCAUCUCCUUCUAUCCGCACGUAGAGAGAAUGUGCCGUCAAAUGUGACUCACCAUUCCCACCUCCCCCUCCAUUUUUUUUUUCAUUUUUCAUUUUUCUGAUAGUCGUUAUCCACUAUCAGAAAGACCCAGGCCUAUCUUCGUAACACACGGAAAUCCGUGUUGCCGGUGUUCCAUCCUGAAAACACGCUCAACAGUUUUCCAAACGGUGUAACGGAGCGACGAAUCGGUGAAACGAACGGUGGAAAAUUUCCGGAGGAUUGUUAUUACCUUCCGUAACGUAGUCGCGACGGUGGUCGUAACGGUGCGAUAUCGCUUGUGUUGAGAUAGCGAGAGACUGGAAAAUACAGUUCCCACAGGUGGUCGAGCGAGCUUGUCGCAGCAGAAACCGUUUUACGAGCGCCUCUAGCUUUCAUACCGAUUCAUCCACCGAUCGCACAGAUAUUCGGAUCGAUCUUUCUUUCGCGUAUCUAUUAUUUCAUACGCUCUGGCCUGUAAUCGGUUGCCGGGUCAGGCAUCGACAAAGUCCUAUCGCUUGGACCGGCACCAAGUGUCAGGGACGUAUCUAGACGAGGGCGAUGUGUGACGCGCAUGGUACAGCGUGGGAACUCCUUCGAUGCACAGCGGUUCUCAAUUUCGAGACGUCACCGCGAAGGUUUGAUUGAAAAUUCGAGAUAGAUAAUGGCGAGCAACAGGAAAUUCUAAUGGAACAGCGAUUAGAGUAAAGGCGUAUCGACGGAGACAACUCGGUAGAUGACCGGAUGUAGGUACAUCAUUUCAUUCGAAUCGUGCUUUAUUUCGCCGGUUUUCGCCGUGCUUUACGAGCACCUUAGCGGCGCGUUUUACUGCCGGUUCGCUUCACAAUGCGCCAUCACUGGGCGUUUUUACAGACGUCCUUUAUCUAAGCGGUAGUAUCGAACGUGUGGGUAUUUUACAUACGAGUCGUUAUAUAAUGGAGGUUUGCACAGACGACUCUUCUCAAUCGUACAUCCGAUGCAUCGUUUCGCGGUCUCUGUUGGUCCACUUCCGUUUCUCUCUCUCUUCUUUUGUUCACCUUCAACAGCGCAUACCGUAACGAAAGCGCAUAGGUGUACUUACCUAGAUCAACGGUAACGAGCGGAAUUUUCAAUCGAUUUCCUUCGUCAGGUGAAACGUUUUUUUGUAACGACAAAGUAGGCGUGCGGGAACGUUUAUUUAUGCGGUUGCAAGAGCCCCUCGGCGUGUACGCGCGUAUCUCCGCGGACGGUGCGCGUGUCUCUGCGUACCACGUCCUGUGCAUAGAUCGUUCCCUCUUUCUCUUGCCAUUCAGUAAGCCGACAUGAAUGAACCGCAAGCUCUUCGUUCGCUCCGUAGUAAAUACUUUUUCCCACACGUUUGCCGCAACAAUGGCAGCGCCGUUCAACAUUCGGGGGUAAAAAACUCAAACAUCGACCGUUCGUCUCCUCGUCUUUUUCUUCUUUCUUUGUUACGCGCUUCUCUCACGGAAGAGUGAAAAGCAAAAAGUGUGAUAAAUUCGGAAAAAUUUCAAGUGCCGGGAUGAUCUUACUAGUCGCGUUCACGGUUCGGAAAGGGUCAACGAACUCUGGUUUCCUCGAUAGCGUAACAUUCGUGGGUAAAUGCUUGACGAGUGCUCGCUGAAACGUUAACGAGACGCCCAAUCCUCUCUCGUUUAUUGCCAGCCAAGGAUAGUAGACCCGUUAGUUGAACGUGCGAACGUAUCGCUCGACGCGAUAUUCAUUAUUGAUUUUACAAUAUCCUGUAAUUAGUAGCGCGCGGAUAAUCGUACGAUCGCAGGACCGUGAUCGAGAAGGAAACGGGGUAAACGGAAAGAAGUCAGAGGUACAUAGAUAUCUUUUUAUUUCAAUAGUUUUGUAAUUGACAGUUUUAUAAAUUCUUCGCGAACAUAUGUAAGCGCAUGUUACGUUUCCGCUUUAGACGUCACUUCCUCUCUCCUGCUGCGUCCCAGACGAUCCUCGGUGAACUUCUCAGGCUUGGCUGCGCUGCCUGACCGCAGGCAACCUAAUUGUUUCAGGUCUCACCUAGGAGAAACGUUCAUCGAUACGCGUUAUUUUCAUCGUCGAAGCGCGGAUAUCGGCGCGAAACUAGCUGAUAAAAGAUUUGCGUCAUAGCGCCACCUGCGUCGAACACAACCGAACGACCGAUUGCGUAAAUACUAGAGGCGCGCGUGCAAUCGUAGAUUCAUGCUCGCAGAAAAUCAUCGUCGCAAAUUCAAGCGACGAAAAGCAGCACGCGGCCCAACAGGUUUUUGCAAAUUUUUAUCGAUUUCUUUUUAAAGACUACCGUAUCGAUACGAGGGAUUUGCGAAGAUUCGAUGCAUCCUAUCGAAAUCGAUCGGGACGCGGAUCCGCCCACCGUCGUCGCCGAACACGCGUCCGUCGAAACGAGAUUCUCGCAAUUCGAUCGAGCUCGAUUUACAACGCCCUUUUCUAGCCUCGAUAAGCGACUUGGUUCGCCUGGUUGUUCAAAGUAUUUCAUUCGUCUUCCCUUGAUACGCGAUUCAACGUCUUCCUCUGCGAAAUGACGAAUUUCCGUUGGAUCUCUCUCCUCGAGGUCGAAGAACGGCGCUUCCUCUUUUCGUCGUCUUCAUCUCCGUUUCUCCCUUUGCGAUACGUCCGUGUGCGAUACACACACCACUGUACGGAGGGAGGAGAAAAAGCGAAGGUGCGUGUGUGUGCGCGUGAGAAUGAGAGAGAGAGAGAGAGAGAGAGAGAGAGCUGAUUCAGUAAUGAAUGGAUUAAACAGCCUGACGUCACAGGAUGGAUUAUAUAAACGGUGGUGCGCGUGACAUCGGACGUAGGAAGGAAGUUGGCUUCCUUUCGUACCUAGAAGGUAUUCGUCCGUACGUACGUUCGUACAAUACACGCGUGUUACGCAUAGGCGUGCGAGUUUGCAAACGAUUUCGUUGCCGAGGGAUCGUUCAUUUAAAAGCGGACGAGCUUGGUUAGAAUCCCGAUGACGACGACAGGGCCGCCCCUUUUAAAGCUUCCCUUCGCCGAUCUGCCCUCGAAAGUCCCCCUCUACCUAUAGCUGUUUCAUUUUUUUUUUUUUUUUACCUGCGCUUUGAUUGCCAGUACACACGCGGCCUGCAGUCGCAUACGGUGUUUUCGCGCGGUUGCAGAUCGAUCUCGGUGGUUGAAAUUUUCAAGCGUGUCUCGAUGGUGAAUCGUUCGUUUGCAAAUCAUCGCGGUCUACGUAAAUUUCGUGCGCGAUCGAGUGCGCACGUGCCAGAAACAAGCUCGGAAACGGUGCUACCCGUAUCGCACGUCUGCCGGUAUAUAUUUGAAUCGCUCUGCAUCUAGUUGACCGGCGUGCAGUGCGAAAACGGUGGAUCCCGUGGUUGGACGUGAAAGUGGACGCGACCUAGUUCUGCCGUAGAAGCCUCGCGUUCGCGGAAAGAUACGUGCGAGCACGUGUUUACCGGCUUCGAGGGGGACGCGACGAUUCGUUUUUCCGCGAGGUCCACCGUGUCGGUUAUUAACGCGCGUGUAGUCUGGGAGCUGUCUGCGGGUCGACGUCCGACGCGCAGAAAUAGAAGCGCCGCGACGCUCGCUACAUUCCGUCACCUACGAUCGCUUACUGACCAUCCCCGACCAACACCGGACCCCGUGUCGUCGAUGACCGACUCGUGCCCGCGUUUAAAACGGUCACGCGUGCCGUUUUAACUCGCCGAGACGGGAAGGCACCGAUCGUCCACCCUUCUUUUUUUUACGCCAACGAUUCGUACGGUGUGAUCGUUGCGCGUUCACGCGAUUUUUCCACGUCUCCGUUCCCCGAUAUAGAGGAACGCGAUUAUUUCGGGGUUGGUUAACGGUUAUCCUCCUAACUCGAAGGGCAGGUGCGUAGUCCGGUUUGCAAGGGAAAAGGGCAGCUGCUCGUCUUAGACGUUCCGGAAAGGAGGGGAAAGGAAGAAAGGAAGAAGACGAAGAGAGCGUAGAAAGAAGGGAUAGGUGGUUCGCUGGUAAGGUAAACGAUAUAAUGGGGACGUAACAGUGGGUCCUUUUCAGAGGCAGAUGUCCUGCUCGAGACACGUGCCCAUCCCGAGGCCCCCCCCUUUUUUUCAGUCCCUUCGGAUCUCCCCUCCUUUCUUCGUCGGGAUUCAAGCAAAGAGAAGGAACGCGAACGGAAAAGCCCGUACCCGUAAGGCACUCCUGCAGGCUGCGCUCUUGCUCCCCUUUUCUUUUUCUCUUCCUCUUCGUCCUCCACCUCCUCCGCCGCGUCUUCUUUCCUUGUCCCCGUGGAAGCUUCCGUUUUUUCCUUUCCUUCUUUUCUUCGUAAGAGAAGCGAAGCAGGGUCGGAAGGGAAAGACGGGGGCACCAGCUGCUGCUCUCGUUAUAGCGGAUCGCAGCGGGGCAACGAGGACCUCGACGACGAUUGCGUCGACGAUUCGUGCUCCUAGCCCUUCUAUUGUGUUCGCGAAACUCGUCCGACGAGAUCGCGUCGACCUUUCCGUAUUAAAGAACGACACCGCGAUGGGAAUAGGGCUCGCGUUCCGUGCCAAUUCGUUCUUUACAGACGGUAAGGAGAAUUUGCAAGGCCGGUUUCGUUCGUAUCGAGGAUGCUGCAGGAACGUCUUGAAAAUAUCUACGAAAAUCGCGCCUCUCGAUCUGUGCUUGCUGUCACGCGGACGUUCCUUGCCUGUGAGAGCCGCUGCACGCCGUGCGACUUUUUCACUCGCUUUGGUCCCACGCUUAGGCUACGUACGCGCCUCUACAUCCUAUGCACACAAAUGUACAUCGCUCGUGCAAACCGAGCGGUGCCCGUCCACGUAGAAAUGCAUACACCUGCGAUAGAUCACCUUUAUCCCCGCGACGCGACGGACGAUCGGCAACGUCGUCUCGUAAAAACGAAACGCCGUUUGCGCCAUUACUGUUCGACGAAUCCGUGCCAAGGUCUCGCUUUCCGUUUUAUUCUCGGAUCUGAUCGCUUCGUUGCCUUCCUACUCUUGUCGACGACUUUUUCCGUAUUUCCGCGAGUUUGCACGCGUUUCGUUGCCGAUCGAAUCGAACGUAGCUGCCGAGCGUACUACCAUCGCGAAUCGAGACAGACCGUUCUCUGUUCGGUACGGUUUCCAUGAACCAUUCGUCUUGUUCCGCUUCGCACAGUUCUAUUAUUGGACAGGCUAGGAAGUAUUCGUCGUUGGUCGAGUAGCUCGAUCGUCUCGGUCGACUCCCGGGGAAAAUGCAGGUGGAAUUUCAAGCUAAGAAUUCUUUGAAAACCCUAUCCAGCCUCUAGCCUCGGCGAUAAACGAUCCGAGACGAUCAGUGAUUCAAGGUGACACCGGAUAAAUCGUGGUAGGAACGAAAACGAAACGAGAAAAUAUCAGCAAGCGUGCAUCAAUCGCAGCUAAUCCAUUAUGAAGCGGCUCCUCUGUAUAUCGUAACGCGUGCAGAUUGACAAUGACAUAACGCACACCACGCUAGCGAUUCUCCAUUAUUCAUCGGGAUUAUCGAUGAAUUAUCAUAAUAUAAUGGCGACGGCGUCGGUAUUCGUAACCUUGAAACGAUGACUCCUCGUUACGUUGCCUUGAACGGCGGAAACAUGGGAUAUUUGUUGAAUCGUCGGCGGCUCGAUUCGCCUAGAUUCCACCGCGGAGAUUGCCGAUCCAUUCGUGCGCACACUUUCCUGAUUGAACGGUGUUGCGAACGAGGACCGAUCGAUUCGUCUCGAAACGAGGAGAAUCGAACGGGAAUCAUUUCUCGAGCGAUCGUGAUAGAAUUUAUUAUUCGCUAGUGGCACGGUGAGUACCUGUUGGUAUUGAAAUUUUUCUUCGACACCGUUCGACGAGACUUCCAAUUUUAUUCGGCUUCGAAUGCAGGAAAAGAAAAGAUCGGCUGGACGAUCGGUACGGUUGGAGUCGCGAGGCUGACGACGGUGCGCGUGGAUACUAGUAGUAGGUCGGUGUAGUUGUUCGGCCGUCUCCCACGGCAGGGCCGCACGUCGACCGCAUUCCACUUGCAGACCCUUUCCACCGAUGCCGUUCCCGCUACCACCGCCGCAGCCACUGUCGGGUGAUCGACCCUAAUCGCCAAAUUCGAUCUCGAAUUAUCCACCGUCGCGCCGCCGCUUUCACGCCCGAGUUUCGCGCGUUCCCGUCGAGAAAAAGAAACCCGUCCGUUCGCCCGUCCUUUUCAGUCACCGUGUUAACGAGCAUUUACGGUGAUAACGACGUUGCUAUUAUUAGGUGUGUCGAAGACGGCCCAGAGCAGGGGUAAGAGGUGGUGAAGUCGGUAGGUGGAAGAGGAUGGCGAUUCGGUGAGCACCGGGGUCAGUUGUUUAGAGCUACCAAAGAAAAGAGCAGAAAUAAGAAGAGAAAAGAAGGAGAAGGUGGAGGUGGCUGAUCAGGAGGCGAGGAGGCAAGAGUAAAGUCGGAGACUGGACUCGUAUCUGCAUUCCAUUCCCACUGGCCGCGUAGGUCCUUGUAUAGGUGGUCGUCCUCCUCCUCUUCCACCUCAUCCUCCUUCUUUCCUUCUACUUCUACUCUUUCUCCUUCUUCAGCACACUCAUCGUUCUCUCUUCGUUCCAUCGUUUAUUCGUCCGUCCGUUAGUCCGAUCGUGUCGAGUCUUACGCGAUGAAAAUCUUUCGUCUUUCCCGAUUUUCAUUCGCUCCUCCACUGAUCUUCAAUCCCGUCAUUUUCCUUAAUUUCACCACCUUCUGACCGGUCGAUUUUAUAAAUCUCCAAGGAUGUUCCCCAUCCGUAGGGAUGAAAUUAGCCGCCCGCAGAUAGAGUUGCCCUUUUUUUUAAAGUAUUUUAUUCAAAAAAUGGCGCCUAUUCGAUUUCUCGAUUUCUCCUCUUGGACCGUUGCUCUCGAUUUUGUCUUCUUAACUUCGUCGCGUUCUUCUUCUCUCUUCGUUGCUGUUCGGUUGCCAACCGGAUCACCGUCUCGCGAGAACUGCCGUCGAAGAUCCUCGAACCGAGCGUGAAGCACGCUUUUCGUUCAACUUCGCUCCUGGUGAUCAUUCGCAGGAUUUCGACGACACGCAAAAGGUUAGAAAUGUCGCGUAGUAAACGACCCACGAUGCGGGACAAAUAUAAACCCGCCGCGUUAUUCCAGAGCUGUGAUCUUCUUAAUUAGAGCAAUUAGACGAUCCGAGAAUAGAAAGAUGACGCAGAGUCGCGCGGACCAUACGUUCAUCUCUCAGCUGAGUUCAUCUGUACGCGAGUUUUUCCAUCGUCUUUCGUUAACCCUUUCUCGCGAAUAUCGAACGAGCGGCAAAGUUGAAAGCGGGCAAGAUGAGCACGGGAAAGUAAGACGGUAUUCGUGCACGCGCAACUUUUACACCAGAAGAACUCGAGCCUACGUUGAAUUAACGAUGCUGUAGCGUUAGAGCGACAGUUUAACCAGCGUCGAAAGCAAGGACGUGUCGCGAAUUUGUUCGUACAAGUGUCCGGGGCAAACGAUCUCCGUAGAUCCGGCUGGAAGGCCGGCGUCCUAUUUUCGCUAGGCCCGCGACCGGUCAACCAGCUGCAAGAAAGAAUAGAAAGAAUCUCUUGCUGCCGUGACACUUUUCAAAAGUUGCGGUUCUUUCGACUUGUAACGCGUAUUAUUCAUGUCGCGCCGCGACUUCUCUCCUUCUCUACGUCUGCCGGUCUCGUAAUAUUUCUCUCGGCUCUUUCUACCCGUCUUGCUCGGUACCCCGUGCCUUCACCGUACGCUCUCUCGCUCGCUCAAUUACUCACUCGGCCGGUAUGUCGAGGGAGAGAAGCGAAUUCCAAGAGUGGCAGCCUUGUCAAGGUGUUUCUCGCGAUUGGUCUUGCAUGGAAAUCCGUCUUUUCUGCCGCUACCAUUACGCGCGAUAGGAUACGCGACUGUCCGAAAGCGGAUAGAAGCUCGUCUCUGGUGACGUCGAACGAUCGAGCCAGUCCCACGCGUGAUCUUUCGUUGAAAUUAUAUAACACACUCGUGUUCCAUCAUUUUCUAUCGCAACCUCGUUUCCUUCUCAUUUUCAUAUUCCGCGGUUACGAUUCGCGCUUGCAAGACCAGAGUCGGAAUUUAAAAAACCCGAGCGCGUUCGCGCCUCGAUUCUAGCCACGCGCCUCGCGAUUCUCGCGAAGAAGGUCAAAAAUAAUAUCGUGAAUCACGUGUAAGUCUGUAAGUCCCCGAACACUUUUGCACGAUUCGCGAGUCGUGCCGAUUCCAGGCGACGCGUCGUGCUUCUGAAAACGAUUUCUCCAUGCGUGUACACAGAUUAGGCGCGUUACUCGCCGAGCGUGUAGGUGUCGGAGCGUGUGCAUGCGUGCGUGCGUGCAUGUGCCACGAUCCACAUCCUUGCACGAAAUUCUCUGGAGGGGUCUGUCACGAGUACAAAUAGCUGACCUCGCUUCGUCGCCUCUAUCAAUGGCUCGGCGCUGGUCUGAAUGACUUUUACGCCUCUUCCUCUUACUACGCUCUGCUGCGAGAUAGCCUUCGCUCGCUUUCUUCCACAGCACGGAUUCUUCUUUUUUUUUAAUCGUUUCAGCGCUUGCGAAACACCAGUUUCCUUUGAUUUUCAACGUCCAGGCUUGUCCGAUUGGUAGGCCAUUUUCUAUUCGACUGAAAACUGAACUUUCCUCUGAGAUAUAAAGUAUAUUUGAAGAAACAAAGAUGAAUGCGAGGCGAGAAAUAAACGCUGGCGAUCUUAUCGUAUUUUGAUUCACUGUGAAAAGUGUUUUUUAAAAGUUUGCGCUUUGAAUGCAACCCGCUGUACUCGGAACCAGUUAUCUCCUCUAGCUUUUCGACAGUCGGUAAAGAAAAUUGCGAUAUUGCGCGGGCAUGAUAACGCAGCAGACGUUGGUACGUUACCGACUGUGGUCGAUAGCACCAGUUUACCAGCGGUCGAUAAAGUUACGACUAUGAGUGUCGAUAAAUCAUCACUCUAUAUUAUCGAUCGAUUUCGCGGUUCGACGCGUUCGAAUUCAAAAAGAUUUCCGCCUUUGCGGAAAUAAGUAUGUACUCAACAUUCAGGGGAAUUGAAAUUGUCUAAUUAAAUUCUUUUAUCAUUUUUCGUAAGACCUUCGCCUUCUCAGUGUUGUCGCUAAAUACGAACGUCGUUACGACGUUCCGCUAAUCCUCCCUCGUUAAUUUUUACGACGAUCCAAACAAGAAGAAGCGAGCGUUAAUUAGAUAACGCUAGCGACUCGAUUCUCGGAAGGAUUGAACGCGCGGCGUAAUCGCCGCCGGCCAAUUCAUUUGAUGGUUCGUGUCGUUACGAUAUCGAGCAUCUCGCAUAUCUUUUUUUUUUCUUUUUUUUUUUUUAAUUUCGUUUCUUCUCGACCCGCGCGACUUAUGGAGCGGACCGAGACAGUGGCGGCUGUUGAAGCGUGGUCCGAGGAUGCGCGAAUUUUUCUUGUCAAGGAUUUCUGUCGUGCCACGACGACGCUCGACGUCGUCAAACUCGAGCGGCAACGCUUGUAGGUUCUUCUCCGCUUCCAUGGAAUCGCUACGGGGUCGUAGGGUCGGCCGGUCGUAUCUUUAUCAGGGCUUCGCGUAACCGUCAGCGCGUUAUCGACCGUCCGAUAGCGCACGUGCAAAAUAAUAUACGUCAACGGAUCCUCACGUUCGGAUAUUAGCAUUCGGACUAGCGAAAAUACCGUACUCGACCCGUGAUUCUUGUCCACGGACUCGUGAUUUCUCCGUGGCCUCGUUAUUAAUGGACCGCGCUAUCGCGUUCUUCGACAAUGAAAACGGUAUCGGAAUGAAAAAUAAGGGGCAUUCUUUAAUUAGCAUAGCCGAAGGAAUGCAAUUACGAAAUCCUCGACCGAUCGAAAAUCGAUGUCAACAGCGAUAUCGAUUCAUCGAUAACUGCGUUUCGGUUUUCCAAUUCGUACUAAACGCGUUCUCCCUUACAGUUGAGCGAUCUCCGAAAUCCUGGCAGAGGCGUGCUCGUUUAUUUUUGGAUGUUUGCGAGCAACAGAGGCCCCUUAACUCGUCGCGAUCCAAUUCUCUUCGAUCCGUUCGCCCCCGUGCUCGAGAUUCGCGAUCGAGUGGAUCACGAGGAUGCCAGCACACGUAUUCGCGUCGAACGUCUUUGUUCCCGUCGCCAUUUUCCAGCCACCGCUUCGCCGUAAGCAUCGUCUCGCAGGUUUCAUCGAGGUGAAUCGAUCGCAGCUACCUGCUGUAACAGGUAACUGAGACGAAACUGGUUUUCACAAUGAUUUGACAGAUUGAUUUGAUUCUGAGAUCAUUGUGAAAGCUGAUUUUGUUUAGAGAUCAUCGGGGACAGCCGUGGCAGAAGAAGAGGACGAGGAAUGCUGGAAAGGAGGAUCGUGAAACGCGACGAGGCUCGCGAUUUCCCGUUCACCGUCCCGGUAUAAUUGUUGACGGAUAAAUAAAUGGAGCGCACAAAGAGGCCUCUGUGUCGUUGGCAGUGCGUGCUCCACGGCGCGGCGCGCGCCUCGAAAUUUAUGAUUCGGCGAGAGAAGGAAGGAAGGACGGAACGGAGAUGAAACUGGAAGACGAGUCCCAGCUAAAUUCAUCGAUCGUUUCGAACGAUACCGCCGAGGCGUACUCCGCUCCGUGGUCUCGCGAUUAUGCAACAAUGCCGUACAAUCCCGUGCAUUGUCGAGGAAAACGUGGAAAAAUCAGCGGGCGUUCGCGAGCGGUCAGCUACGUUCGACUCUCUUUCCUCCCUCGGCCCUUCGUUCAGAAAACAGACGGACGCUGGUCGCGUUGCGCCCGCCAAUUAAGCAUCUAGAGCGCGAACGAGCGAUACGGUUUUUGUCGGAAUUUCCGGUAACGAUUUAUCAAACGGGAAAGAUGGUAUCGUGGACGAAGGAGAGCCGCGGCAAGAAACGACUUCUCGUAGAGGAGCUGAAGCGAACGAAACACGGGAAAGGGGGGAGAUGAAACAGGGGAAGAAGUCGAAGAAGAAGAGGAAGAAAAGAUGGCUCGCGAGCCUCGUCGAAGAGGAUCUCGCGCGAAGCCAGAACGCGCAGCUAUGCACGCUCGAGCGCUAUCAAGUGUCAAACGAACCGAACGUAAGAAAAACCAAACGGAGCAACGAAACUUUGAGAGAACGCAGCCGGACGAAAGGGAGAAACUUUAGACGGUAUCCGUAACCGCCUACGCGACGCUCCAACGACCCCUCGCCCGAGGAAUACGGCCACUCUUGACCCUCUCCACGUUGACUCCAACCACCCGAGGCUAGUACCUUUUCUUAUUCUCUCCGCUAGAAAUCGGGUUUACUCUCGGAACCGAGCGUUUUCCACGAAACCUCUUGGUAAUCGUUUAUUUUCCCCUUAGAGAUCUGCCACUCGAGAGCGUUCGCUCGAGAUCCUUUUCGAGGAAGAUCCGUCGAUCGAGAUCCAUCGCAGCUCUGACAGUUGAACAGUUGCCACGAUAGAAGAGGAAGAACUUGUAAAAAUCUGUUAGCAAAUUGGUAAGAACAUGGAUGGCACCCUAGUCUCGAGUUUCUCGUUCAUCUUUUCGAUGCCAGACCGGGCUCCGCGUUAUUUUGACAGGAGCAAAGUGAAAUUUAUCGAGGAAGGCCCUACUCGGCCAGCUGCUCCCUGGCGACGGUAUUUUCAGCUAUUAGACGAAACAAGUCGUUCGUGUUUUACGAUCGAUCUCGGUGACCCGCAACGCGUGCCUCCUACGAUCCACGCGCAACCAUAAAUCUCAAACUCGCCUGGUUUUCCUUCACCUCGUUCGAUUUCCUCUCGUCUCCCGUUUCAUCGAGAAAGGGAAACCUUUUCCUUUCACGGAAAAAUUAUCGAACAUCGUAAAACGAACGGUCCCGUAGGAGAACGUAAACAAUUAAAAGGCGCCAGAAACGGAGCGCUUCAGGUCGAAUCGUGUUUCUCUCUGGUUAUCGGCUCGAAACGUUCGUAAGCUUUUACGGGCGAGGACUGUAAGAGGUCUCGUAAAAACGUCCGACCGCGAUUUUCUGGGAAACUCGUAAAUUUAAACGCUCUUGUAACUUUUCCUCGCCCACUCGACCCUUUGACUCGCGCGUGGACAGAUUUUCACGGUCGUGUGAAGGGUCGAUUUUCUGAAAUUACCUCGGUGCGCAGUUCGAGAAAAGUUUCCUGGACGCUGUUGGAUGUUCUCCAAAGAAGCAAGGAGAGAAAAAAAGGUUUGUUUGAUAGGGUGGGCGAUGCACGUGCGUAACGCGCGGAUCGCGGCACACGCUCCGGCCUCGGGUCGGUCUCGUUCUUUCGUGGCGCGGAUGUGCGCACCAUCGCACACGCGAUUCGCUCAACUUGUCCGAGAACUCUCUCUUUCUCUACCCUUAACCCUUUCCAUCGUCCCGCGAGCCGCGAGCCAACGGGCCGUGCUUUUAUCGGGCCCGAAUCGCCGCUAGCCACAUGUGUAUCCGAGUAAAAAGUCCCGGCCUACGCUCCUCUCUGCUUCUUUCUGCUCCAUCUUUCUUCGCUCUUCUUCUCUUCCUGUACUCUCGUGGCCGAGGCGAUCGCGGGUGGUCAGCCUUCGAGCGAGCGUAGCUGCAACGAAUCGAUUCGAUCGAAUCGACGACCGAUAGUCGCUGCUUUUCACGAGAUUUUCCAACGUUUUCUCGAUGAACUCCAUGCAAUCGCAACCAGUCGAUCUCCGUUGGUUCGUUCGAAGAGAGAUGUGACAGCCGGUGCGUACCAAUUGUGUUGCUGGUUCGACUCAUAUCUUCUACAGUUGCUAAUUACAAUAAUAACCGAGGACGUUGUAAUCGGAUUCGCAAUUAGUCUCAGUCGGCAAUGGUCGAGCAGAGGGAUCGAGCAACGGUUUAUCGUGUUACACGGUUAUCGUGACGAUUUUUCAUUCGACGGCUAUCGAUAGAAACGGCAAGUACCGAGGUCGGUGCAAUCCUUCCGCUCGUAAUCAUUAAAGAAGCAUGUUUGUUCGUCGUUUUUCGUGAAACGAACCUGCGAAACGUAGGGAACCGAUUCGUUUUUCACCGAACAAAUAUGUUAUCUCUCAUUGUCCUUGAGAGAAACUAACGUCAGAAUAGGCCGAGACGUUUCAACUUGAGCCGUACGAUUCAUUUUCUCGCGUUUCGUGCGCCAGACACGACGGUAUCUUAAUCGUUGUUCGAUAACGAGGGGUUAUUCCCAGUUGGUGAACCACGCAGCUCGAGAGUCUCACGCGUGAAGAGUGCUCGACAGAUCGCAGAACCCCUUCUUCUCCUGUCCUUCUUCACCGAGUUACGCGAUACCCGUCGAUCCUUCGUCACCGGCUAACGGAUUAUACUCCUCGACGUAAGAAAAAACGAGAUACCAAAAUCCUGACCGUGUGCCUGAUCUCUCGCACCAUCUAAACAACCCCUUCUGCUCUCUUCUCACCCCCUAUCGUAGAGCGGUAAUCGCUCCACUGACCAUGAUCUCGAUUUUUCUUACAAAUCGAACACCUCCCGGCAACGGGUUAACUUGGUGAAAAGCUCGACUAAUUAUAGCGCAACGUCGGGGGGCCAAGCUCGCUUCGCGGAGCUAUUAUCGCCUGGCUCAUAAAGGGUUAUUGCGUUUAGCAAAUCGGCGCCCAUUGCAAGAAAAGAAGAUCGAAGACCUUGGCAAAAGGUAGAGGGAAAGAGCGAGAAAGAGCGUUCCUUGAGACGGCGUCUCGCGACCUAUCUACCAUCGCCGUUGGACGGACGGCUACAAAUUCAAGACGAAAAGCGAACAAAUAGAAGGAUUCUUUCCGAGAAGUUACCCACUACCCCCGUAUCGCGAAUCACUCUCCGCCAAAUGCCAAUUAUCUUUAUUCUUCGCUCAGGCAAUUAACAGGCAUCGGGGAAACGUAUCGUCCAGCUGCUACCAGUGACUAUAGAUACAAAAAGACUGGACAUACCUUUGGGGUUCCAGACACCCCGAGAGGAGAUUAGGUCUGCAUGCAGAGAGCCAAUUUUCACUCUCUCUGAUUUUAUUCUUUUUUGUCAAGAAUCAGUCAAAAGCAGCACAAGACUAAGCAAUUAUUAUUAUAAUUGUUUGACAAACUUGUAUUCACUUCAUGCGCCUUAGUAAAUAAAUCAGUUUAAAAAAGCAACUGAGCUAUUAUUUAAUUUACCCAAUUUUAUUUUCGAGUAAUAUAUUUAAUGUAAUUUUUUUUCACAAUUAGUUACUUAUUUCACUUAAAUUCUUAACUCCUUUUCUCAAUUAUUUAUAUAUGUAUACAACAUUCAAUAACUGAUUGAUCUUUAAUAAAUCAUAAAUAUAUAAUUUAUAAUAUAAAUAAGUAUACAUGAAAAUCAAACUUAAAACACAGUAAUUAAAGACCUAGAACGCGGUGCGACCUCCUCAGUCCUAUAACGACAGCCGAGGGAUGCGGAUCAACUUGUCAGCUCAUCAAAGGGUUGUAGGGAUACAAGGGAUGCAGAGAUGUAACGGAUGCUGGAAUGUAAGGAAUGCAGGAGUAUAAGGGUGGCAGAGAUGUGAAGGAUGCAGGGAUAUAAAGAAAGCAGGGAUGUAACAGAUGCUGGAAUGUAAGGAAUGCAGGAGUAUAAGGGUGGCAGAGUUGUAAAGGAUGCAGGGGUAUAAAGGGUGCAGGGAUAUAAAGAAAGCAGGGAUAUAAAGGAUGUCGUAAUGUAAGGGGGCAAAGAUGUAAAGGAAUCAGGGAUGUAAAGGAUGCACACAGGUGUCGGCCUUUCCUCGGGCCGCGUACAAGGACGUCUGGAGCCCUCACUUCCGACGCCAGUGGCCCUGACAGCCCUACAGGUUUUGGUGGUGAAGCCGUCAUAUGCAGUGUUGAGAAAAGGGCUGGAUCAAACUCCCCUUGCUGUUCCUCUUGCUGCUGCAAUAUGACAAGACUGAGUGAGCUUCAGACACUGACUGACAAUGAAUAAUGGGGUAUAGUCUUUGAUAUCGAAGCAAUCUGCUAUUACCAUCAACGUGCGUUAGACUGUUGCAGUGCGAAGUAUUUCACAUUUUUAUAUUAGGAUAGAACAGAUGGCGUUCGUUCUCAAGGGAGAAAUUCAAAAUACCUUGAAAAUAAAGGCAUGUCUAAUUUUGUUGGAUUUGUAGUUACUGCCUUUGCGCUUGGAAAACUUGAUCGAAUUUUUGCCAGAUAGGAAUGGAAAUCACUGAUCUAGCGGAUGUCUUAAAAUCGCGGUAAUAGUCAGUUUUAAUUUUUACAAUUUUUCUGUAGAAAGGAACCAAAUUUGAGGCUCUCUAUAUUUAUCGUUAUCGGGAUGUAUCGUGCAACCACGUGUAAAUCAUUUUAGUUUUAAUUACAGAUCUGUGAGAAAUGGUACUCUAUGGAAGAGAGGAGAAAAGUCCGGGCGGAAGAAAAGUCCGAGUUUAUCAAGUGAAAGCCGAUCAUUUUAGCUGUCAGUCUUUUUCCGACGUUCGGAGCGAGAGGAUCUGAGACUUCAUUCUUAUCAUCAUGACAUUUCCUUCAUUUAUCUCUGCAACUUGCAGCGAAUAACUUACCGAUUCACUAGCCGUAAAAAGUGUGACCAUCUAUGAACAGACGGAAGAACUUGAUGGACACCGCUUUUUCAAAUGAUUACAAGAAAUUUUCUUAAUUAAAUAGUUUACUGCGUUUUUCAUUAAAUAAUAAUAGAUGAGAUCGUGAUAAAACAAUUUAAUAUCAGCGAUCUAAUACCGAAUUGCCACGCUACCUAUUUAUGAUAAAUCUUCCGUCAACCCUCGGUCGAUAACUAGUUACCAUCAUUGAAGAAAAUGGCGUCAGCAUACAGACGUCGUUACUCAUAAUUUAUUAAGCACUAGUAGUAAUCUACUGCUUAAUAAAUCUUAUCAAACAUUAUAAAGGAAUGUAAUUUGAACUUUCCUCUUUGUGUUUCAAUCAUAAAUUAUUGUGAAUUAUUACAACGUACGAUAGAAUCAAUGAAAUACCAACGGGUGUUCAAUGCAGAGUGUGCAACUACCACAAUAAUUGCUAAUAACUAAGUGAUUAUAAAUGAAAUCUGCGCAAACGUGGUAUUAGAAAACUCUGCAGACAUUAUUUUUCGAGAAUUAAUCGUGAAAGUUCACGUUUCAUUGCUGAUAAAUGCAUAAUUGAUGGUUUACUCUUUACUAUAUGCGUUUCUCAUUUCUGGCGAGCGGAGGUAUUAGGAGUACAUAACUAAAAUUGGUGGCAAAAAUUGUGCCACUUUCUUGGCUAUCCUAUUAUCCUGCUACCAGGCGAGCAAUUUCAGCAAAUGUUAUCCUAAAUGUUGACCGAUAGAAAAUGGAAGUCCCUUAUAAUGUAAUUAUUUUACGACGUUGUAAAAACAUAACAAUAAAAAAUCAAAAUUGCAAUACAUCUGCGUUGUCAAUGUAUAUAAUUUAAGUAUGUAUAGAUUACCUGAACUUUAUACUACUAUCUACAAUUAUGAAAGUCAAUCGAUUGUACUAAAUUAUUGUAAAAUGAAUAAAUAAAGUUCUUUGAAUAGUACAACAGAGUGUUGAAAUUCUUUGCCACGAAAAGUAAUAAUUGUUUAAUAUUAAGAGAACGAAUGUUUAUAACAUUCAUAUUAAACAAUUAUAGGAACCCUAUUCUUUAUAUUGCAGCCUUAAAAGUUAAGAAAAUAAUUUGCAAACUUGAGAAAUUAAUAAAAGAUUGGGAAUACGCAGUUCCCGUAUGUAUA